rnacentral:pre_miRNA from 1 species
CAAGAGUACUCCCUUCGUCCUAAAAAAACAAACGUUUGAGUUUCCGUCUUAUAUGAAAUUUUUUUAUAAUUAAUAUUUUCAGUGUUAUUAGAUGAUAAAAUAUGAUUAAUACUUUAUGCGUGACUUAUUUUUUUAAUUUUUUUAUAAUUUUUUUAAAUAAGACAGACGGUGAAACGUUGAACACGAAAAUC